rnacentral:rRNA from 1 species
GGGUUGUGAGGUUAAGCGACUAAGCGUACACGGUGGAUGCCCUGGCAGUCAGAGGCGAUGAAGGACGUGCUAAUCUGCGAUAAGCGUCGGUAAGGUGAUAUGAACCGUUAUAACCGGCGAUUUCCGAAUGGGGAAACCCAGUGUGAUUCGUCACACUAUCAUUAACUGAAUCCAUAGGUUAAUGAGGCGAACCGGGGGAACUGAAACAUCUAAGUACCCCGAGGAAAAGAAAUCAACCGAGAUUCCCCCAGUAGCGGCGAGCGAACGGGGAGCAGCCCAGAGCCUGAAUCAGUGUGUGUGUUAGUGGAAGCGUCUGGAAAGGCGCGCGAUACAGGGUGACAGCCCCGUACACAAAAAUGCACAUACUGUGAGCUCGAUGAGUAGGGCGGGACACGUGGUAUCCUGUCUGAAUAUGGGGGGACCAUCCUCCAAGGCUAAAUACUCCUGACUGACCGAUAGUGAACCAGUACCGUGAGGGAAAGGCGAAAAGAACCCCGGCGAGGGGAGUGAAAAAGAACCUGAAACCGUGUACGUACAAGCAGUGGGAGCACGCUUAGGCGUGUGACUGCGUACCUUUUGUAUAAUGGGUCAGCGACUUAUAUUCUGUAGCAAGGUUAACCGAAUAGGGGAGCCGAAGGGAAACCGAGUCUUAACUGGGCGUUAAGUUGCAGGGUAUAGACCCGAAACCCGGUGAUCUAGCCAUGGGCAGGUUGAAGGUUGGGUAACACUAACUGGAGGACCGAACCGACUAAUGUUGAAAAAUUAGCGGAUGACUUGUGGCUGGGGGUGAAAGGCCAAUCAAACCGGGAGAUAGCUGGUUCUCCCCGAAAGCUAUUUAGGUAGCGCCUCGUGAAUUCAUCUCCGGGGGUAGAGCACUGUUUCGGCAAGGGGGUCAUCCCGACUUACCAACCCGAUGCAAACUGCGAAUACCGGAGAAUGUUAUCACGGGAGACACACGGCGGGUGCUAACGUCCGUCGUGAAGAGGGAAACAACCCAGACCGCCAGCUAAGGUCCCAAAGUCAUGGUUAAGUGGGAAACGAUGUGGGAAGGCCCAGACAGCCAGGAUGUUGGCUUAGAAGCAGCCAUCAUUUAAAGAAAGCGUAAUAGCUCACUGGUCGAGUCGGCCUGCGCGGAAGAUGUAACGGGGCUAAACCAUGCACCGAAGCUGCGGCAGCGACGCUUAUGCGUUGUUGGGUAGGGGAGCGUUCUGUAAGCCUGCGAAGGUGUGCUGUGAGGCAUGCUGGAGGUAUCAGAAGUGCGAAUGCUGACAUAAGUAACGAUAAAGCGGGUGAAAAGCCCGCUCGCCGGAAGACCAAGGGUUCCUGUCCAACGUUAAUCGGGGCAGGGUGAGUCGACCCCUAAGGCGAGGCCGAAAGGCGUAGUCGAUGGGAAACAGGUUAAUAUUCCUGUACUUGGUGUUACUGCGAAGGGGGGACGGAGAAGGCUAUGUUGGCCGGGCGACGGUUGUCCCGGUUUAAGCGUGUAGGCUGGUUUUCCAGGCAAAUCCGGAAAAUCAAGGCUGAGGCGUGAUGACGAGGCACUACGGUGCUGAAGCAACAAAUGCCCUGCUUCCAGGAAAAGCCUCUAAGCAUCAGGUAACAUCAAAUCGUACCCCAAACCGACACAGGUGGUCAGGUAGAGAAUACCAAGGCGCUUGAGAGAACUCGGGUGAAGGAACUAGGCAAAAUGGUGCCGUAACUUCGGGAGAAGGCACGCUGAUAUGUAGGUGAAGUCCCUCGCGGAUGGAGCUGAAAUCAGUCGAAGAUACCAGCUGGCUGCAACUGUUUAUUAAAAACACAGCACUGUGCAAACACGAAAGUGGACGUAUACGGUGUGACGCCUGCCCGGUGCCGGAAGGUUAAUUGAUGGGGUCAGCGCAAGCGAAGCUCUUGAUCGAAGCCCCGGUAAACGGCGGCCGUAACUAUAACGGUCCUAAGGUAGCGAAAUUCCUUGUCGGGUAAGUUCCGACCUGCACGAAUGGCGUAAUGAUGGCCAGGCUGUCUCCACCCGAGACUCAGUGAAAUUGAACUCGCUGUGAAGAUGCAGUGUACCCGCGGCAAGACGGAAAGACCCCGUGAACCUUUACUAUAGCUUGACACUGAACAUUGAGCCUUGAUGUGUAGGAUAGGUGGGAGGCUUUGAAGUGUGGACGCCAGUCUGCAUGGAGCCGACCUUGAAAUACCACCCUUUAAUGUUUGAUGUUCUAACGUUGACCCGUAAUCCGGGUUGCGGACAGUGUCUGGUGGGUAGUUUGACUGGGGCGGUCUCCUCCUAAAGAGUAACGGAGGAGCACGAAGGUUGGCUAAUCCUGGUCGGACAUCAGGAGGUUAGUGCAAUGGCAUAAGCCAGCUUGACUGCGAGCGUGACGGCGCGAGCAGGUGCGAAAGCAGGUCAUAGUGAUCCGGUGGUUCUGAAUGGAAGGGCCAUCGCUCAACGGAUAAAAGGUACUCCGGGGAUAACAGGCUGAUACCGCCCAAGAGUUCAUAUCGACGGCGGUGUUUGGCACCUCGAUGUCGGCUCAUCACAUCCUGGGGCUGAAGUAGGUCCCAAGGGUAUGGCUGUUCGCCAUUUAAAGUGGUACGCGAGCUGGGUUUAGAACGUCGUGAGACAGUUCGGUCCCUAUCUGCCGUGGGCGCUGGAGAACUGAGGGGGGCUGCUCCUAGUACGAGAGGACCGGAGUGGACGCAUCACUGGUGUUCGGGUUGUCAUGCCAAUGGCACUGCCCGGUAGCUAAAUGCGGAAGAGAUAAGUGCUGAAAGCAUCUAAGCACGAAACUUGCCCCGAGAUGAGUUCUCCCUGACUCCUUGAGAGUCCUGAAGGAACGUUGAAGACGACGACGUUGAUAGGCCGGAUGUGUAAGCGCAGCGAUGCGUUGAGCUAACCGGUACUAAUGAACCGUGAGGCUUAACCUUACAACGCCGAAGCUGUU